GCGGCGCGGGCGCGCGUCUCGGGACUGCGGCGGGCGCCGCCCCCUCGGCCGCCGGCCCCGCCCGGCCGGCGCUCCCCGGCCUCCGAGCGGCGCCCUCCCUCCCGCCGGCUCCUCCCGCGGCCGCUCGCUCGCGCCCGGCUCGGCGCCGGCUCGGCUCCUCCCGGCCGCCCGGGGCCGAGGCGACGUGCGCUAGUGAAAUCCAUGUGGGACGGCCCCGGGGCGCGCAUCGGAAAGAUCUCUGGAGUCGUUUUCUGGUACAGACUGUGAAAAGAAUGCAGUGAAAAGUCUGGCCAACGGUGGAAAAAUUGGCUUAACCUCUGACUUAGUAUAGCAUUCUUUCUCCUCUGUAGCACCUCAUAAAAGAAGGAAAAUGUAUGGAAGUGCGAGAACGAUCACCAAUCUGGAAGGUAGCCCUUCCAGAUCUCCUCGUUUGCCAAGGUCUCCUCGUUUGGGCCACCGAAGAACAAGUAGUGGGGGAGGUGGAGGAACAGGCAAGACCCUGUCCAUGGAGAACAUCCAGUCCCUCAACGCAGCCUACGCCACGUCUGGGCCCAUGUACCUGAGUGAUCACGAGGGGGUGGCUUCGACGACUUACCCAAAGGGCACCAUGACUCUGGGGAGGGCCACAAAUCGAGCUGUGUAUGGGGGCCGGGUCACAGCCAUGGGGAGCAGCCCGAACAUCGCUUCUGCCGGACUUUCCCACACAGAUGUCCUUUCAUACACAGAUCAACCCGGUCUGUCUGGCUCAUCCCACCACCACCACCACCAGGUCCCCUCCAUGUUGAGGCAGGUCAGGGACAGCACCAUGUUAGACCUUCAAGCUCAGCUCAAGGAACUUCAGAGAGAGAACGACCUCCUCCGAAAAGAGCUGGAUAUCAAGGACAGCAAGUUGGGAUCAUCCAUGAAUAGCAUCAAGACCUUCUGGAGUCCAGAGCUCAAGAAGGAGAGAGUCUUGAGGAAAGAGGAGGCAGCCCGGAUGUCUGUCCUCAAGGAGCAGAUGAGGGUUUCCCACGAAGAGAAUCAGCACCUGCAGUUGACAAUCCAGGCCCUGCAGGAUGAGCUGCGGACCCAGAGAGACCUCAACCACCUCCUGCAGCAAGAGAGCGGCAGCCGUGGAGCCGAGCACUUCACCAUCGAGCUGACCGAGGAGAACUUCCGGCGGCUCCAGGCCGAGCACGACAGACAGGCCAAGGAGCUGUUCCUUCUGAGGAAGACCCUGGAGGAGAUGGAGCUGAGAAUUGAAACGCAGAAACAGACCCUCAAUGCCCGAGACGAGUCGAUUAAAAAGCUGCUCGAGAUGUUGCAAAGCAAAGGCUUGCCGUCCAAAAGCCUCGAGGACGACAACGAACGGACACGGCGCAUGGCGGAGGCUGAGUCUCAGGUCAGCCACCUAGAAGUGAUUUUAGACCAGAAGGAGAAGGAAAACAUACACCUUAGAGAGGAAUUGCACCGAAGGAGCCAACUUCAGUCGGAGCCGGCCAAGACGAAGGCUCUCCAGACUGUCAUUGAAAUGAAGGAAGCUCCAGCUUUUAACUUUGAUCCCCAUUUGGUCUGGCAGGACACAAAAAUCGCUUCAUUGGAGCGAAACAUAAGGGAUCUUGAGGAUGAAAUCCAGAUGUUAAAAGCCAAUGGUGUUUUGAACACUGAGGACCGUGAGGAGGAGAUCAAACAGAUAGAGGUUUACAAAAGUCACUCCAAGUUCAUGAAAACCAAGAUCGACCAGCUGAAGCAGGAACUUUCAAAGAAGGAGUCAGAACUUCUUGCCUUACAAACAAAGCUUGAAACCCUUAGCAAUCAAAAUUCAGAUUGCAAACAACACAUCGAAGUACUUAAAGAGUCACUUACUGCCAAAGAGCAGAGGGCCGCCAUCCUUCAGACGGAGGUAGAUGCGCUGCGGUUACGACUGGAAGAGAAGGAAUCUUUUCUCAAUAAAAAAACAAAACAGCUGCAGGACCUCACUGAAGAGAAGGGGACGCUGGCCGGAGAGAUUCGUGACAUAAAGGAUAUGUUAGAAGUAAAAGAAAGAAAGAUCAAUGUUCUCCAGAAAAAGAUUGAAAACCUGCAGGAACAGCUUAGGGAUAAAGACAAGCAGCUAACCAACCUGAAGGACAGAGUGAAGUCCCUGCAGACGGACUCCAGCAAUACUGAUACUGCAUUAGCAACACUUGAGGAGGCUUUGUCAGAGAAGGAGAGAAUAAUUGAGCGUUUGAAAGAACAGCGGGAGCGAGAUGAUCGGGAAAGACUAGAAGAGAUAGAAUCCUUCCGCAAAGAGAACAAAGACCUGAAAGAGAAGGUCAAUGCUUUACAAGCUGAACUGACUGAAAAAGAGUCUAGUUUAAUUGACCUCAAGGAACAUGCAUCUUCAUUGGCCUCAGCAGGGCUGAAAAGGGACUCCAAAUUAAAAUCACUAGAAAUAGCCAUUGAACAGAAGAAAGAAGAAUGUAGCAAAUUGGAAGCCCAGUUAAAAAAGCAAGCUGAGCAGUUGUUCAAUCAGAUGUACAACCCAGCUCAUAACAUUGAAGAUGACUCCAGGAUGAACCCCGAGUUCGCAGACCGAAUAAAACAGCUUGAUAAGGAGGCAUCUUAUUACCGCGACGAGUGCGGGAAGGCGCAAGCGGAGGUGGACCGGCUGCUGGAGAUCCUCAAGGAGGUGGAACACGAGAAGAACGACAAGGACAAGAAGAUCGCCGAGCUCGAGAGGCAUAUGAAGGAUCAGAAUAAGAAGGUGGCCAACCUCAAGCACAAUCAGCAGCUGGAAAAGAAGAAGAAUGCCCAGUUACUGGAGGAAGUCCGCAGGCGAGAGGACAGCCUGGCUGAGAGCGCGCAGCACGGGCAGAUAGAGGAGCUGAUGGCCGCCCUGGAGAAGAGCAGGCAGGAGCUGGACGCCACCAAGGCGCGCCUCGCCUCCACGCAGCAGUCCCUGGCGGAAAAGGAGACUCACUUGGCCAACCUCCGGGUGGAGAGGAGAAAGCAGCUAGAGGAAAUCUUGGAGAUGAAACAGGAAGCACUGCUCGCGGCGAUCAGCGAGAAAGAUGCAAACAUUGCCUUGCUGGAGUUGUCCGCCUCCAAAAAGAAAAAGACGCAGGAAGAGGUCAUGGCCCUCAGGAGGGAGAAGGAUCGGCUAGUGCACCAGUUAAAGCAGCAGACCCAGAACAGGAUGAAGCUGAUGGCGGACAGCUAUGACGAGGACCACCACCAUUACCACCACCACCACCACCACCACCACCACCGGUCUCCCGGGAGGUCGCAGCACGCCAACCACAGGCCCUCUCCCGACCAGAUGAUCCAGCUCUGUCGGAGGCACGGAGGCACAGACAAAUCUCAUGCUGUACAUUGAUCACCUGUCCAACCUUUGCCUAGAGUGGGAGCCCCAGUCUCUUCGAGAGAUCCAACUUUACCUGUCUGUAAAGAAGAGGAGGAGGAGGGAGACAGCGGGGAGGAUCCGGUGGCAGUUUAACACCAGAGCGGGUCCAGUGUUUGCUUUGGCCCUUUUGGAGCUACAGAAGGGCUGACUAAAGGGAAAAUACAGUCCUGCAGCCAUAUUCUGAUCAUCUAUUGCAGUGCGGUUCACAUCACUGUCCAUUCACCACCUGGGAUGGCUCAUCAGGCCGAAGAGGAGGUUUCACUUUCGUUACUGAGCAGGAUUCCGGCCGACCUGGUUGCUUCCUCCAUCACCUCUGUCGGUUCUCUGGCAUCAGAUAUGUCAGAAAGGAAAAAUACUAGGAGGAGGAAAAUGACAGAGCUCCCGUUUUUGUUGUUGUUGUUGUAGUUGGGAUCUGGGCAUUUAAAACAUGACCAUCCCUUCAGAAUGUCAUUAUUUGAUAGAGUUUUAUUUAUGUUCCUAAGACAUCGUUGGAUAAGUUUGAACUCCGUGGCAUUUUAGCUGUGGGUUCAGCUUCUGUUGGACAACUAGCUUCAUCUCCAGGUUUCCCGCUGGUUCGGUCUAAGUGGUUGUUUCCUAAUGCAUUAGAUUAUCAAAAAGUGUGACUUCUGGGAGUGAGUGGCGUUGGCAGUGUUUGUAUACUAAGGUGCAUGGAGUGUUUGGCAAAGAAACCAAAACCCCAAAGAUGGCAAGCCUGUACCCUCCUCUACUUCUUUAACCCGCUGUCCGAAGAGCCCCAGUUUGACGGUGGUAACCAGUAGUUAUCCUCUGGGCCAGGUUGGAAAUGAAAUCAAUUUUUUGAAACCACUAAUACUUGCCAAGAAAUCGCCUUAUGAGAACAUGGUGUGUGUCUCUGACAAUGUCUGGCACAUCUAAAUUAAUCAUUCAUGAUUUUUAGCAACCCUGUGUUUGUACCGGGAGUGGCAAACGCCUGAGGCGACGGCAUAUUUCUGCCCAACCUGUUCCGUACAACUCCUGGCUGGGAGGGUGACCAAACCUCAGACUCUUACCAUUCCUGGACUUGCAGGUCUCCAUGAAGAAACUGGAACUCACUCGCAUUUCAAGAUCUCAACCGUGUAAGCUUACAUCCUGUAAAUGAAGGGUCAUGUCUCAAAAAAAAAAAAAAAAGUCUCCAACAUGGAUUCCAAAGCAUUUUCAGCAUCAAACGUGAAAACAUUGAUGAAUGAGGAAAAAAAAAAAUCACAAAAGCUGUGUAUCUGUAUAUAGCUCUACACAACAUGUUUGUGGGUACGGAGUCAUUAUUUAAAGGACAUGCCAGGGAAAGAGACCACGUUUUGAGGUCUUUUACAUAUAGUGACAUGGUACUAAGGAGAAUUAAACUCCUACUGUUUCCUCUGAAGAUAAAAAAAAAAAUUUAAGUUGUUAUAACUUUGUAAAACUCAUGACCAAGUCUGGAAAACAUGUGCGGCCUCGUGUAUUGAUCCGCUUUCUUGUCAAUGGAAGAAAGCCUUCCGCGUGUAUGCAAGUGGGGGAUGAAAAUUUGCAUUUUUCAAGGACAAACAGUGACGUUAAGCAUGAGAGGCCUUAAUAAAUAUAGUUGUCUUUC